CUACGGGGGGCUGCAGUGAGGAAUUUUGCGCAAUGGGGGGAACCCUGACGCAGCAACGCCGCGUGAGUGAUGAAGGCUUUCGGGUCGUAAAGCUCUGUCAAGUGGGAAGAACCUAUGCAGUGUUAAUAUCACUGUAUACUGACGGUACCACUGAAGGAAGCACCGGCUAACUCCGUGCCAGCAGCCGCGGUAAUACGGGGGGUGCAAGCGUUAUUCGGAAUCAUUGGGCGUAAAGGGCACGUAGGCGGCUUGGUAAGUCAGAUGUGAAAGCCCGGGGCUUAACCCCGGAAGUGCAUUUUGAUACUGUCAGGCUUGAGUAUGGGAGAGGGAAGUGGAAUUCCUGGUGUAGAGGUGACAUUCGUAGAUAUCAGGAGGAACACAGGUGGCGAAGGCGACUUCCUGGACCAAUACUGACGCUGAGGUGCGAAGGCGUGGGUAGCAAACAGGAUUAGAUACCCCAGUAGUC
rnacentral:rRNA from 1 species